CAAAAACAUUGCUUCUUGAAAUAAAUAAGAAGUAAUUCCUGCCCAGUGAUUCAACGGCCGCGGUAUCCUAACCGUGCAAAGGUAGCAUAAUCACUUGCCCAUUAAUUGUGGGCUAGAAUGAAAGGACUAACGAAAUAAAGACUGUCUCCACGGGCCCAAUAAAAAUUAAUCUCUAGUUGAAGAAUACUAGAUAUGAUCGAAGGACAAGAAGACCCUAUAGAGCUUCAUUUUAACAUAAAAUAACUUUCUGCUAAAAUUCGGUUGGGGCGACCAGGGAAGUUAUAGAUCAUCCCUUACUAAAGAUAUAUAAAUCACCUAUAUGACCCUUUAUAAAGAGCAACAAAAUAAGCUACCUUAGGGAUAACAGGCUAAUCCCACUAAAGAGUCCUUAUCAAUAGUGGGGUUUGGCACCUCGAUGUUGGCUUAGGGAAUCUAUGUGGCGCAAAAGUCAUAUAAAGAUGGUUUGUUCAACCAAUAAUACCCUACAUGAUCU
rnacentral:rRNA from 1 species